rnacentral:tRNA from 1 species
GGAGAGGUGCCUGAGUGGUUGAAAGGACCGGUCUUGAAAACCGGCGUACGUGCAAGCGUACCGUGGGUUCGAAUCCCACCCUCUCCGCCA